CAGGGAGACAACAAAAUGUUUAAUAUUAUUAUUUUGUCACCUUAGGUCGAUCGGUAUCUCACGUUCUUAAUUUGUUAAGGAUUUCAUUUCCUAAGUUUUUCUAGGUCACACCCAUUAUUUUUCCUGGGCCAUUAGCUCAGGUGGUUAGAGCGCACCCCUGAUAAGGGUGAGGUCCCUGGUUCAAGUCCAGGAUGGCCCAUAUCUCUAUGUUGGGGGUAUAGCUCAGUUGGUAGAGCGCCUGCUUUGCAAGCAGGAUGUCAGCGGUUCGAGUCCGCUUACCUCCACUGAUUACCACCUCUUCCAUAACUGGUAAAAAGGAAAUGUUUUGAGUUGUGAUUAUUAUUCUGAACGAAUCUAGCUUCCUAAUGAAAUCAUUAAGAUGCUGGACUCAUUGAAUUAAUUUCAUUGUUUUCAGAGANCCUUGACAACUGCAUAGAUUUUUUUAAAGACAAUAAGCAUCUUUANUGAUGCAGAUUUAUUAUUUGNGCGAAUGCAUUAAUAACAAUUCUAUUAAGCUGAUGCUUCAAUUUUUGAAGUUAUU
rnacentral:tRNA from 1 species